UUGUCGCAUGCUAAUGCCGAUGGUAAAUACGCGCGAGCAGGUGAAGCGAAAUUCACGAAAUAAAUUGUUGCACAGAGUGAAUUCGAUAAUGACUGAGAACGACGUGGACAACGAGCUCUUAGACUACGAGGAGGAUGAGGUGGAUGCGACAGGAGGUGUCGGGGACGGAGGGCUCGCUGGAGACGGCAGCACCGUGGCCUUGAGGAAAGAAGGACUGAAAGGCUCUUAUGUUUCCAUCCACUCCUCAGGGUUCAGGGACUUCCUGUUAAAGCCUGAGCUCCUCAGGGCCAUCGUGGACUGCGGCUUCGAGCAUCCGUCCGAAGUUCAGCAUGAGUGCAUUCCACAAGCCAUCUUGGGCAUGGAUGUGUUGUGCCAGGCCAAGUCGGGUAUGGGGAAGACGGCCGUCUUUGUCUUGGCGACACUCCAGCAGCUGGAACCAGUGACUGGACAGGUUUCAGUGCUGGUGAUGUGCCAUACCCGAGAGCUGGCAUUCCAGAUCAGCAAAGAGUACGAGCGCUUCUCCAAGUACAUGCCUACUGUCAAGGUGGCGGUGUUCUUUGGCGGUUUGCCUAUAAAGAAGGAUGAGGAGACGCUGAAGAGAGAGAGUCCUCACAUAGUGGUGGGAACGCCUGGCCGCAUCCUGGCUCUUUCACGCAACAAGAGUCUCAACCUGCGCCACAUCAAACACUUCAUCCUGGACGAGUGUGACAAGAUGCUGGAACAGCUUGACAUGCGUCGUGACGUUCAGGAGAUUUUCCGCAUGACCCCGCACGAGAAGCAGGUCAUGAUGUUCAGCGCCACCUUGAGCAAAGAAAUCCGGCCCGUCUGCCGAAAGUUCAUGCAAGAUCCCAUGGAGAUAUUUGUGGACGACGAGACCAAGCUGACCCUGCACGGCCUGCAGCAGUACUACGUCAAGCUGAAGGACAACGAGAAGAACAGGAAACUGUUUGAUCUGCUGGACGUGCUCGAGUUCAACCAGGUGGUAAUCUUUGUGAAGUCAGUGCAGCGCUGCAUCGCUCUGGCGCAGCUGCUGGUGGAGCAGAACUUCCCCGCCAUCGCCAUCCACAGAGCAAUGCCUCAGGAGGAGAGGCUCGCUCGAUAUCAGCAGUUUAAAGACUUUCAGAGACGCAUCCUCGUGGCCACUAACCUGUUCGGCAGAGGAAUGGACAUCGAAAGGGUCAACAUCGCCUUUAACUACGACAUGCCCGAGGAUUCAGACACGUACCUGCACAGGGUUGGUGGCCAGGGCGGGCAGGUUCGGCACAAAAGGUCUAGCCAUCACGUUCGUGUCGGAUGAAGGCGAUGCCCGAACGCUGAAUGACGUUCAGGACAGGUUCGAGGUGAACAUCAGCGAACUUCCAGAGGAGAUCGACAUCUCGUCUUACAUCGAGCAGACGCGGUAAAGCGUGACGUCGUGGAGAAGAGGCGGCGCGUGUGGAGAGGACGCCUGGGAGGAGCAGCACUCAGUAGCCUGCGUUUCACACAGACUGUUAGUGAAGUUUAGUGAGAAUGUAAACCUGAACAAAGAAAAAUCUGUAGAUCUAUAAUCCAACACUUACACGGGUUCUUAAAUGCCUCUGAAACGUCUCUGAUGCUUUUAUAUAUAUAUAUAUAUGUGUGUGUGUGUGUGUGUGUGUGUGUG